AUUGAACGCUAGCGGGAUGCCUUACACAUGCAAGUCGAACGGCGUGGCGAACGGGUGCGUAAUGUAUCGGACUGUGCCCAGUAGCGGGGGAUAACUACGCGAAAGCGUAACUAAUACCGCAUACUCUUGGAACGGCAGAUAUCGGAUUAGCUAGUUGGUGGGGUAACGGCUCACCAAGGCGACGAUCCGUAGCUGGUUUGAGAGGACGACCAGCCACACUGGGACGGAGACACGGCCCAGACUCCUACGGGAGGCAGCAGUGGGGAAUUUUGGACAAUGGGGGAAACCCUGAUCCAGCCAUGCCGCGUGUGCGAAGAAGGCCUUCGGGUUGUAAAGCACUUUUGGCAGGAAAGCGGUACCUGCAGAAUAAGCACCGGCUAACUCCGUGCCAGCAGCCGCGGUAAUAC
rnacentral:rRNA from 1 species